GAUGAACGCUGGCGGCGUGCCUAAUACAUGCAAGUCGAGCGAACAGACGAGGAGCUUGCUCCUCUGACGUUAGCGGCGGACGGGUGAGUAACACGUAGAUAACCUACCUAUAAGACUGGGAUAACUUCGGGAAACCGGAGCUAAUACCGGAUAAUAUAUUGAACCGCAUGGUUCAAUAGUGAAAGACGGUUUUGCUGUCACUUAUAGAUGGAUCCGCGCCGCAUUAGCUAGUUGGUAAGGUAACGGCUUACCAAGGCAACGAUGCGUAGCCGACCUGAGAGGGUGAUCGGCCACACUGGAACUGAGACACGGUCCAGACUCCUACGGGAGGCAGCAGUAGGGAAUCUUCCGCAAUGGGCGAAAGCCUGACGGAGCAACGCCGCGUGAGUGAUGAAGGUCUUCGGAUCGUAAAACUCUGUUAUUAGGGAAGAACAAAUGUGUAAGUAACUAUGCACGUCUUGACGGUACCUAAUCAGAAAGCCACGGCUAACUACGUG
rnacentral:rRNA from 1 species